rnacentral:rRNA from 1 species
UGGGGAAUAUUGGACAAUGGGGGCAACCCUGAUCCAGCGAUGCCGCGUGGGUGAAGAAGGCCUUCGGGUUGUAAAGCCCUUUAGGUUGGGAAGAAGUGUAGUAGAUGAAUAGUCUAUUACAUUGACGGUACCGACAGAAUAAGCACCGGCAAACUCUGUGCCAGCAGCCGCGGUAAUACAGAGGGUGCGAGCGUUAAUCGGAGUUACUGGGCGUAAAGGGCGCGUAGGCGGUUAUAUGAGUGUGAUGUGAAAGCCCCGGGCUUAACCUGGGAAGUGCAUCGCAAACGAUAUAACUGGAGUAGAUGAGAGGGUGGCGGAAUUUCCGGUGUAGCGGUGAAAUGCGUAGAGAUCGGAAGGAACGUCGAUGGCGAAGGCAGCCACCUGGCAUCAUACUGACGCUGAGGCGCGAAAGCGUGGGUAGCGAACAGGAUUAGAUACCCCUGUAGUCC